CAAAUCCUAGGCCAUUAAACAAAUCUUAACCAAUUUACAUAAGAGAACUCACACAAAGUAUACUUUCUGGACAUAAUCAAAUUUAACUAGAAAUCACUAACAGCACAGGAAAUUAAACAGCAUACCCCCAAUGAAUCCAUAGGUAAAAGAGGGACACUCAAGGGAAAUGAAUAAGUGUGUUGCGUGAAGUGAAAAGGAAAAUACAACAUAUAAAAAUGUGUAGGUGACAGCCAACCUGGUACAGAAAGAGAAAUUUAUGGCACAAAAUGAGUAUAUGAAAAGAAGAAAAGAUCCCAAAUCGAGAAACUAAACUUCCAUGAGAAGACUAGAAAAGAAAGAGCAAAAGAAACCCAUAAGAACCAGAAGGAAAGAAAUGUUUUGCUAAGACAGUAUAGGUCACUGAAGAGUUCUGAGCCAGUGAAUUGUUGCAGAAAUUAAGGCGUUUUGAAAAAUUUCUCUGCCUAGAAAUCUUCAGUGAUAUUUAAUUACUCACCAAAAAGAGGAUGGUUCUUAAUAUGUCUUUUUCUGUGAUAGUCUCACCUAUCAUCCCAAUAUCAUCAUUUUUCCUUCCUGUUUUCCAGCCAAACUGAAUAUUCCAACUACUGCCAUUCACCCCUUCCUGCUCCCUUUAUUCAUGUGGCUCCACUUGGAAUUUCCAUGCCCAUCUACACCUAAUAUUUAGGUCCUACCUAACUUUCAGAUAAAAUGUCUCCAUCCUUGGAGUUCCCCUGUGGUUCAGUGGUAACAAACCCAACCCAGUAUCCAAGAGGACUUGGGUUUGAUCCCUAACUUCACUCAGUGGGUUAAGGAUCCGGCGUUGCUGUGAGCUCUGUAGUGUAGGUCACAGACACAGCUCAGAUCCCUCGUCGCUGUGGCUGUCGUGUAGGCUGGCAGCUGCAGCUCUGAGUUGACCCCUAGCCUGGGAACUUCUGUAUGUCACAGGUGCAGCCUUAAAAAAAAGUCUCCAUCCUCAGUCCUUCAUAGCGGAUACUUGAUAUUAAGAUGCUGUCUUGGAGUUCCCAUUGUGGCUCAGAAGGUUUUAUUAUAGUG
rnacentral:lncRNA from 1 species